rnacentral:lncRNA from 1 species
UGUUUAUUUGAUUUGUUUAUAUACAGGAAUUUGACAAACCAAUAAUAAUUGCUCAAGAUUCAAGGUGACUUUGAAAUGAUUUCAUUCAAUAAACAUUUAUUAAUAGAGUAUUUUGUGCCAGGACCGGAUUUGUCUGAUAAGGUGUUGUGAGACGGUCUACCAGCGCCUGCUCUCACCUUGACGAAAGUACUUCUUUUCUACCUUCAUUGAAUGAACACCGGAUCUGGAAUUUAGUUCAGUGGUGCUGCCGCCUGCCUCACAAGCUCAAGGACCCAAGUUUCAUCCCCCGUAACAAACAAACAAAAAAAAGCAAAACAAACAAAAACAAAAACAAAAACAAAAAAACAAAUGAAAAGAUAAAUAAAUAAAUAGAUAAAUGAACACCUC